CUAGCCGUAAACGAUGGGUACUAGGUGUAGGUGGUUUCGAUACCAUCUGUGCCGGAGUUAACGCAAUAAGUACCCCGCCUGGGGAGUACGUGCGCAAGCAUGAAACUCAAAGGAAUUGACGGGGGCCCGCACAAGCGGUGGAGCAUGUGGUUUAAUUCGAGGCAACGCGAAGAACCUUACCCGGGUUUGACAUCCGUAGAAUCCUUCAGAGAUGAGGGAGUGCCGGUUUACCGGAGCUACGAGACAGGUGC
rnacentral:rRNA from 1 species